rnacentral:rRNA from 1 species
UUGGUCCUAAACUUGCCGUUGUUUUUAGUAAAAAUUACACAUGCAAGCCUCAACAAACCAGUGAGAAUGCCCACAAAUUCCUAAACAGAAAGCAGGAGCAGGCAUCAGGAGCACCAACCAGUUAGCCUACAACGCCUUGCUACGCCACACCCACAAGGGCCAUCAGCAGUGAAAAGUAUUAAAAAUAAGCGAAAGCUUGAUUUAGUUAUUAUUAAACCUGGUUGGUUAAUUUCGUGCCAGCCACCGCGGUUAUACGAAAAACCAGAAACAACAGCCCGCGGCGUAAAGAGUGAUAAAAGACCCAUUUACUUAAAGAAAAAUUACAGCAGAGUUGUAAAACACUACUGACUGCAAGAACCACAACAAAAACUAAGCCUUUAACCCGCUUAACCUCACGAAAACUAAGAAACAAACUGGGAUUAGAUACCCCACUAUGCUUAGCCGUAAACAAAAACAGUACAGAUACAACACUGUUCGCCAGAGAACUACAAGCAUAAAACUCAAAACUCUAAGGACUUGGCGGUGUCCCAUAUCAACCUAGAGGAGCCUGUCCUAUAAUCGAUACCCCCCGAUCCACCCCACCCUCCCUAGAAACUCAGCCUAUAUACCGCCGUCGCCAGCCUACCCCAUGAGGGGAUCAAAGUAAGCAAAACAGCCACAGGCUAGAACGUCAGGUCAAGGUGUAGCACAUGGAAGGGAAGAG